AUACUGCAAGUCGAGCGACAGACGGGGAGCUUGCUCCCCCGACGUUAGCGGCGGACGGGUGAGUAACACGUGGGUAACCUACCUAUAAGACUGGAAUAACUCCGGGAAACCGGGGCUAAUGCCGGAUAACAUGUUGGACCGCAUGGUCCUACAGUGAAAGACGGUCUUGCUGUCACUUAUAGAUGGACCCGCGCCGUAUUAGCUAGUUGGUAAGGUAACGGCUUACCAAGGCAACGAUACGUAGCCGACCUGAGAGGGUGAUCGGCCACACUGGAACUGAGACACGGUCCAGACUCCUACGGGAGGCAGCAGUAGGGAAUCUUCCGCAAUGGGCGAAAGCCUGACGGAGCAACGCCGCGUGAGUGAUGAAGGCCUUCGGGUCGUAAAACUCUGUUAUUAGGGAAGAACAAAUGUGUAAGUAACUAUGCACGUCUUGACGGUACCUAAUCAGAAAGCCACGGCUAACUACGUGCCAGCAGCCGCGGUAAUACGUAGGUGGCAAGCGUUAUCCGGAAUUAUUGGGCGUAAAGCGCGCGUAGGCGGUUUCUUAAGUCUGAUGUGAAAGCCCACGGCUCAACCGUGGAGGGUCAUUGGAAACUGGGAAACUUGAGUGCAGGAGAGGAAAGUGGAAUUCCAUGUGUAGCGGUGAAAUGCGCAGAGAUAUGGAGGAACACCAGUGGCGAAGGCGACUUUCUGGUCUGCAACUGACGCUGAUGUGCGAAAGCGUGGGGAUCAAACAGGAUUAGAUACCCUGGUAGUCCACGCCGUAAACGAUGAGUGCUAAGUGUUAGGGGGUUUCCGCCCCUUAGUGCUGCAGCUAACGCAUUAAGCACUCCGCCUGGGGAGUACGACCGCAAGGGUGAAACUCAAAGGAAUUGACGGGGACCCGCACAAACCGGUGGAGCAUGUGGUUUAAUUCGAAGCAACCCGGAAAAACCUUACCAAAUCUUUGACCUCCUUUGCCCC
rnacentral:rRNA from 1 species